rnacentral:rRNA from 1 species
UUGGAGGGCAAGUCUGGUGCCAGCAGCCGCGGUAAUUCCAGCUAAUAGCGUAUAUUAAAGUUGUUGCAGUUAAAAAGCUCUUAGUUGAACUUCGGGGUUUACCCAUUGGUCAGGCUUAAUUGUCUGUACUGGUGAGAUGAAUCUCUACCUUCUGAGGAACUUUCAUGCCAUUUAUUUGGUGUGAUGGGAAAUCAGGACUGUUACUUUGAAAAAAUUAGAGUGUUAAAGCAGGCUAACGUCUGAAUACAUUAGCAUGGAAUAAUAAAAUAGGACGGUGGUCCUGUUUUGUUGGUUUCUGAAUCACCGUAAUGAUUAAUAGGGAUAGUUGGGGGCAUUAGUAUUCAAUUGUCAGAGGUGAAAUUCUUGGAUUUAUUGAAGACUAACUUCUGCGAAAGCAUUUGCCAAGAAUGUUUUCAUUAAUCAAGAACGAAAGUUAGGGGAUCGAAGACGAUCAGAUACCGUCGUAGUCUUAACCAUAAACUAUGCCGACUAGGGAUCGGACGAUGUUAAAUUUUAUUGACUCGUUCGGCGCCUUACGGGAAAC